rnacentral:lncRNA from 1 species
CUACCUAUCAUCUAAUCGAUUUCAUCAUCUUCUCUUCUCAUCCUCUACCAUAUCCAUCGAACUCAUCCCUCCACCAUCAUCACCAUCGAUCCGCCGAGCCACCAUCGUCUCUCAUCGCUUCUAGUCACCAUCGUGUCACCACCACCACCAUAGCGCCUCGUUGAUUCCUUCUAUCCAUCAUAUCGCGGCAUCUAUUUCCCUUUGCUUCAGAGUUAAU